CUACGUGACGAAUCGGUCAGUAAAGGCAACAAUAACGCCUGAGCUCCGAGUCAGUCGCCCUAACGCCGGUUCGCCGGCGUUUUUUA
rnacentral:sRNA from 1 species